GACGAACGCUGGCGGCGUGCUUAACACAUGCAAGUCGAGCGGUAAGGCCCUUCGGGUACACGAGCGGCGAACGGGUGAGUAACACGUGGGUGACCUGCCUCUAGCUCUGGGAUAAGCCUGGGAAACUGGGUCUAAUACUGGAUAUGACUCCACGGCGCAUGUUGUGGGGUGGAAAGCCUUGUGUGGCUAGAGAUGGGCCCGCGGCCUAUCAGCUUGUUGGGGGGUGAUGGCCUACCAAGGCGACGACGGGUAGCCGGCCUGAGAGGGCGACCGGCCACACUGGGACUGAGACACGGCCAGACUCCUACGGGAGGCAGCAGUGGGGAAUCUUGCGCAAGUGGGCGAAAGCCUGACGCAGCGACGCCGCGUGAGGGA
rnacentral:rRNA from 1 species